AUACUUCUUGGCUCCUUGGAGCUAAGAUCAAAGUGUAGUGUCUGUUCUUAUCAGUUAAAUAUUUGAUGUAUCCUUUAUUUGAGGACUGUAUAUUAAAUUGAUUUUUGAAAUAGGGGGCUGGAGCAGCAGCUUGCUCUGUCUGCCCCAUGCAUUGCAGUGCCUCCAGGAUUGGUGCAUCUCCU